ensembl:lncRNA
CUGCACAUGAAUACUAUAGGUGCAAUUUUAAAACUACUUCUCAUCCAUGUUGGUUGGAUCCACAAUUGUGGAACAUGGUAGUUGUGAGAGUCUGCUGUGAAAACAUCAUUAAUUGAGGUGAUUGUGCUAUGGUUUCUAUCUUUCAGUGUGUGAAUCCAUGGACAUCAUGCCAGGGAACAUGGCAGCAGACAGGCAGGAAUGUACUGGAGAAGUAGAUGAGAGCUCACACUCUGAUCCAGCAUGAGGCAGAGAGAGAGAGAGACUGGGCCAGGACCAUCUGCCCAGCAUGGGAUCACCUGCAGUGGGCUGGACCUUCCCACAUCCAUCUAAUCAAGACAAUACCACCAACAGACUUGCCUACUGGCAAAUCUAAUGAAGGCAUUUUUUUUCUCAGCUAAGAUUCCCUUUUCUCAGAUGACUGUAUCUUGCAUCGAGCUGACAAGGAAACAAAAAACCAAUCAAAACAAAGCAAAACGAAAUGGGGCAUCUUUAUUUCAUAGAUUGGGUUUGGAUUUAAAUUCAUACUAUUUCUCAGUGUUCAUACUAUUUCUCAGAAGGCAAAACUUUACCACUAGAAAGCAAACUAUUGUCAAGUACUACAGUAUCAUCUUUGGGGUUUUGUGGGGAUUUUUCAAACGGUAAAAGGGAAAGCAAUCAGCCACAUUCAGAAGUCUGAAUCAAUGUUUCUUUACUAGCAACAAACCAGACUAGACCUCCUUAAAUAAACCCCCAAGGAAAACAGCUGCCUUCUUGGUAACACAGAGUGGCUUCCUCACUUUUAAUCAGUGUUACAGUUACAAAAGCAUUUUCUACAUCAUAUUUUUCCUAAGAAUGAUUAUUGUCUUAAAGAUAAAGAACCAAAGACCCACAGCAUGUUUAUGCCUUGCUAUAUCAUAUAAUUCACAGUGACUGCACUUUUUUAUAUAUGAGGUGCCUCCAAGUUACCAUUUAUAUUUGUCUGAUCAUGGUUGGUGAGAGGAACUCGAGUUUGCAGCAAGCAAAUGGGCUCUUUAUAGCCUCUAUUUAAGGCUAAUACUCUCAGACAACAGGAAAACCACAGAGACACCACUGUUUGCAACCCAUGAUGGCCUAAUAUUAAUAUAAAAAUCUUGUACAAAUACUUAGAAAAAAUAAUUCCAUGCCCCUUGCUUCCCUCUGAGAAAAAAGUAUAUCAACCACAUAGAUCAGGUCCAUUCCAGUCAGAAUUUGGAAAAAUUGAAAUGAGUAGCAGAUUUUAACAAGGGCUUGUGCUUUGGAAGUUCUGUGGGCACUAACAGAACUGUAAUCAGCCUGCUGACCAAUAGAC